UUGAACGCUGGCGGCAUGCCUUACACAUGCAAGUCGAACGGCAGGCACGGGAGCAAUCCUGGUGGCGAGUGGCGAACGGGUGAGUAAUAUAUCGGAACGUGCCCAGUCGUGGGGGAUAACGUAGCGAAAGCUACGCUAAUACCGCAUACGAUCUAUGGAUGAAGGCGGGGGAUCGCAAGACCUCGCGCGAUUGGAGCGGCCGAUAUCAGAUUAGGUAGUUGGUGAGGUAAAGGCUCACCAAGCCGACGAUCUGUAGCUGGUCUGAGAGGACGACCAGCCACACUGGGACUGAGACACGGCCCAGACUCCUACGGGAGGCAGCAGUGGGAAUUUUGGACAAUGGGCGCAAGCCUGAUCCAGCAAUGCCGCGUGCAGGAUGAAGGCCUUCGGGUUGUAAACUGCUUUGUACGGAACGAAACGGUGAGCUCUAAUACAGUUUGCUAAUGACGGUACCGUAAGAAUAAGCACCGGCUAACUACGUG
rnacentral:rRNA from 1 species